rnacentral:rRNA from 1 species
UAAGGAAUAUUGGUCAAUGGAGGAAACUCUGAACCAGCCAUCCCGCGUGCAGGAAGAAUGCCCUAUGGGUUGUAAACUGCUUUUAUCUGGGAAGAAAAGCCGGCAUUUAUGUUGGUCUGACGGUACCAGAGGAAUAAGCACCGGCUAACUCCGUGCCAGCAGCCGCGGUAAUACGGAGGGUGCAAGCGUUAUCCGGAAUUACUGGGUUUAAAGGGUGCGUAGGUGGCGCUGUAAGUCAGUGGUGAAAGGUUCCGGCUUAACCGGAGAAUGGCCUUUGAUACUGCAGUGCUAGGAUUGGGUUGAGGUUGGCGGAAUGUGACAUGUAGCGGUGAAAUGCAUAGAUAUGUCAUAGAACACCGAUUGCGAAGGCAGCUGACUGGACCUUGAUUGACACUGAGGCACGAAAGCGUGGGGAGCGAACAGG